GAAAAUUAAAUAAAGUGUUUGCACCUCGGUGAAGUCACCCUGCUGGUGGCCGAGGCUCAACCAUAAGAAUUAUUAAUGUGGGAUACUGUAUUAAUAAUAAGACCACCGUGUAUUCGCCUUUAAUUAGACGCUAUGGUUGGUGUCGCAAGCAGUUCUUCGAUGUAAGCAAUUAGUGUGUGGGGGCGACAAGAAGCUCUAUAGAAAUAUAUCUCGCGAUAAGAUAUAAAGCCUGAGAAACUUAUAUCUCCGCUCUCAAAGGAAGCCUUUGACUUGAUGUUAAGCAAUUAACUAUAACCACAUUCUAAGUGCGAGUAGCGAAAUGUCAACGUUCAGUUUAUGGAGUAUAAAAAGAUCGCUGAAGCUUCGUGAAAGUUGAAAGAUAAUCGAGUUCUUUCCACCGUUUCGUUACAUUGUAACCAUUCUAGAAGCAUAGAGGUAGCUCCUAUAUGCUCAGCCUAGCGUGAGUGUGUGCGAAUAACAAAUUAGAAUAAUGCUUGUAGGGCGAAGGCCCGCGAACACUUUGUUUAAAAU
rnacentral:sRNA from 12 species